ensembl:misc_RNA 7SK 7SK RNA
GGAUGUGAGGGCGAUCUGGCUGAGCCAUCUGUCACCACAUUGAUUGAUCUGGCUGGCUAGGCUGGUGUCCCCUUCCUCCCUCACUGCUCCAUGUGUGUCCCUCCCGAAGCUGCACGCUCGGUCCAAGAGGACGGCCUUACCCGAAUAGAGACGGACCAGUCUUCAGUUGAUGGUAUACGAGUAGUUGUGCUCCCCUCCUAGAACCUCCAAACAAGGUCUCAAGAACAACAACAUUAAGAACAGCACAAUAGUGAUAAUAAUCAUAACAUAAUUACUUUGCUACUCUAUUACCAUAACAUUGUAGUAAACAAAUAA